UUGCCAGCCGCCGCGGUAAGACGAACUGUGCAAACGUUAUUCGGAAUCACUGGGCUUAAAGGGUGCGUAGGCGGUCUGUUAAGUAGGGUGUGAAAGCCCUCGGCUCAACCGGGGAAUGGCGCCCUAAACUAGCAGACUGGAGUGAGGUAGGGGUGUGUGGAACUUCCAGUGGAGCGGUGAAAUGUGUUGAUAUUGGAAAGAACACCGAUGGCGAAGGCACUUUACUGGGCUAUUACUAACACUGAGAGACGAAAGCUAGGGUAGCAAAUGGGAUUAGAUACCCCAGUAGUCCUAGCUGUAAACAAUGGAUACUAGAUGUUGAACAGAUCGACCUGUGCAGUAUCAAAGCUAACGCGUUAAGUAUCCCGCCUGGGAAGUAUGCUCGCAAGAGUGAAACUCAAAUGAAUUGACGG
rnacentral:rRNA from 1 species